rnacentral:lncRNA from 1 species
GGCUUCAUUUAAAUACAUAAGGGAACAAUUAUCUUCCACAUCUUUUUUGCUGUCCUCUUCGGCAGGAAACACUUGAUUGAUGGCAGCCUGGAAAGUCUUGCCUUUCUGAUUCAAAGGUUCAAUAGUUAAGUAGUCGGUGCCGAUGUCCACAAUCAUGCCCAUCUGAAACCCAUCAGUUGGGUGUGGAGCCCAAACGGGCUUCCCGUCCUCCAUUGUGGGAACUAUCCAGUAUUUCCUGCCGCUGCGGCCGCCGCUCCGCGCCCCGCCGCCGCCGCCGCGCCGCUCUGCGCCGCCCCCCGCAGCCCAGCCCUGCCCGGCCCG